GGGUCAGUAGGUUGGUCGUGCCACCGGUACGUACUGGUCUCACUGAUUCCUCCUUCCUGAAGAACCGUAAUGCCAUUAAUUUGGUGUUGCGGGGAAACAGGACUGUUACUUUGAAAAAAUUGGAGUGUUUAAAGCAAGCUAACGCUCGAAUACAUUAGCAUGGAAUAAUGAAAUAGGACGAUCGAUCCUAUUUUGUUGGUUUCUAGGAUUGACGUA
rnacentral:rRNA from 1 species